AUGGGAUUUAGGUGGGUCUGUCAGACACAUGGGUUUAAAUCCAGAACCUGCUUGAUUCCCAACUUCUGUAUCCUUUCUCUCCCCACAGAUACCAACCAUCUGGCCCUAAAACAAAUCUCAUCAGUUUAUGAACCAAGCAGCCCAAUCAGAGUGCCUAAUUCUCCCUACCACACAAUUGGUCAAGGAGGAAGCAAGUGACAUAAUCUAAAUUCUUUCCAAAGAUGGAUGCAGAUGCUAGGAAAGCAAGAGUUGAAUUGCUAGCCAUGAGGAAAACGUAAGCCUGGGCUGUUUGCUGGUCAUCUUUGCUUCCAUAUGGAGACAGUCUGCGUGGAAAUGAAGCCACACAGAGAAAACAGAAGAGCAGUGAAGAGAAAGGUAAAAGGAGAGAUCCCAUGACAUGAUUUGCACUCUUAGAUCCAGUUAUGCCUGAAGCAGGACCCACCCCUUGGACUUCCCAUUUCCAGGAGCCUAUGCAUUCUCUGUUGCUAAAACUAGAUUGAGUUGAGUUUCUAUCACCUACAAGUUGACAGAAAAUAUCAACAGUCCAGCCACAUGGAGCCUCAAGGCAAUACCACUAACCCUGGUCACCACACAAAUACUGACCAGAGACAUUUCACCUGAAUCAACUGUUUGUGUUCUUCACUUGGUCUCCUCACCUGCUUCCUGGAAGACCCAGCUGACACAGAUGGUUACAAGAAGUGAUUUCCUCCCUAUAAAACUUUAGAUCGCGCUUGCUGCUCUGUGAAGAAGGACUGGGCGAAAAAGAAGUAGAAUCAGGGAGAACAGUCCGAGGGUGAUCAAAAUUAUCCAGACGGAAGACGACUACGUUUUAGUCUGAAGUGGUGGGAGUGGUGAUGGAGAAGAGCAGACAUCUGCGAGUUUUAUUUUGGAGAUAGAGCCACAGGACUUGGUAAGGAUUGGGCAUGCGGGGAGGCAAGGGGAAGGGAAGAGUCAGGGAAGCCUCCCAGGUUGCUGACUUGGGCCUCUGUCUGGAGGGUGAAGCUGUUUAUGGAGAGGAGGAAGACUAGGGGAAGAAUAAGGAUGGAAAGAUUUUUAAGAUGAAGAUGUCCACGAGACAUCCAGGGAAAUAUCAAGCCGGCAGAUGGCUGCCUGAACCUGGAGCCCAGCUGACAAGUUUGAGCUGGAGGAUCUUUUUUUCUAAUCUGUUAGUGGUCAAGUAGCCAUCUCAGGUCAACCCGGCUUAUGCCAAAAGAGACCUCCAUGAGGUCUGUAUGAACCUGUUAAAACUCUAUUCGGGGCUUAGACAUGAAGCCCCACUUAGUAAAAAGCAUCCCUCUACCCUGUUUUGUCAUAAGUGCACAUAUUUUCUUUGAAGAAAAGGAUUGCUAGUCAAAAACAAGAUUUGAGAAUUCCUAGGUCCCUGACUAAAUACUGUCAUAAUCUUGCCCCUAGAGUUCCAAUUUUAACAUGACUUCAUGGUAUAUUUAAAGAGCAAGCCCCAGAGUCCAGUUGGAGUGACAGACAAUAAUGUCCUCAUGGGGAGACAUAGGCCCAUAGUAAGAGAUAAGGUUCCAAAGCUUUUCCUUCUGGCUGUCAUGGCAACAGCAGCAAGAGCUCUGGAGGUGGGAAGGAGGACAAGGAGGAGAGAGGAGCAACCAGAAGCUGUGGUGGCUGUUAGUCUGCAGAGAAUAAUUCAAGA